UGCGUCGGCCGGGAGUCGAACCUGGGUCAACUGUUUCGGAAACAGCUAUUCUGACCGUUGAACUACCGACGC
rnacentral:tRNA from 13 species